UAAAGACGAUGACGUUGAUAGGUCGGGUGUGUAAGCGUAGCGAUACGUUGAGCUAACCGAUACUAAUGAACCGUGAGGCUUAACCUU
rnacentral:rRNA from 1 species